rnacentral:rRNA from 1 species
GCGGCAGGCUUAACACAUGCGAAGUCGAGGGGCAGCGUGGUGUAGCAAUACGACCGACGGCGACCGGCGAAAGGGUGAGUAACGCGUGAGCAACAUGCCACCGUUCAGGGGGAUAGUCAUUGGAAACGAUGCGUAAUACCCCGUAUACCAUUGCAGGGCAUCCUGUGGUGGUGAAAGAUUCAUCGGGAGGUGAUUGGCUCGCGUGCCAUUAGGUAGACGGCGGGGUAACGGCCCACCGUGCCGACGAUGGCUAGGGGUUCUGAGAGGAAGGUCCCCCACAUUGGAACUGAGACACGGUCCAGACUCCUACGGGAGGCAGCAGUGAGGAAUAUUGGACAAUGGCCGGAAGGCUGAUCCAGCCAUGCCGCGUGCGGGAUGACGGCCCUAUGGGUUGUAAACCGCUUUUGAGAGGGAGCAAUAAUUACUACGAGUAGUGAGAUGAGAGUACCUUUCGAAUAAGCAUCGGCUAACUCCGUGCC